ensembl:lncRNA
GGCCAUGUUACUCCUAAAUUUCUAUCUUGGUCAAAGAGAAGAUAUAAAACAAAGUUCUAAGCUAAUCGACCUUCGUGUUCUCCUUUUUUAAAAAGAAUCGAUAAGAGAAUCGAUAAAGAAUCGAAUCGUUAAACAGAAUCGAAAAUGGAAUCGGAAUCGUGAAAAUCUUAUCAAUACCCAUCCCUAGCCAUGACUGAAUUCAAAUAUUGCGAUUGACGUAGAGUGACUUUUCUUUGCAACAUACAUACACAUCACGCCGGUUAACAGUCAAGAUGAUAUUUUCUGGGCCAAGGGAGUCUUAAUAGAAUGUCUCAAACUUGGAUAUUAAAUGGAAUCAGUAGGAUAAUAUUAAUAAUCAAGGUUAAGCAGGGAGGUGGUUUCUUUUGUUCUGUCUUUGUUAUCCCAGGAAGAGGAGCAAUAUGAGGCAAGGUUGGACAUGAACAGAGAGAAGACUCGUAGGGAGACAGCAGGACUGCCACGUCGCUUCUGUAAGAAGUAUGUCAUAAUAACACUUGUUAUUAUUGGGGUAUAAAAUUGUAUGGCCCGAUCCAGGGUCGGCAGUUGAAAUUAAAUCUUUUUAAACAACAGACAUUUCUCCUGUACUUUCUUCUGAAAAAACUGAACACAUCAGGACUCUCCAAGUACACCUGUUUUCUGUAGUGUGAUGAGCUCUGAAACCUGACUGAAACUCAAAUAAACCAUUCCUUUGCAGCUGAUCAGUUAGCUGUUUUACAACUAAUCUUUUAAAUAUAUGUUUUUUCUUUUUCUUUUUUUUCUUCACAAAGGGAAGGUUGGAGAUUAGCUACAAAAACUUGGUCAAAUCACAGUUUAAUGACUUCCACCUUAAAGGUCAAUUCAAAGUGUACCCACUUCUCUUGAUUUCUAACAUCUGGGAUAGGCUCCAGUAAAGAAAAAGCAUGGAGGCAGUUUCUCAGUGUGCUUUAUUGAUGUUACCUUAGCCAUCAUAACAAAAAUGGUUUAAAUCAGAUUACUGCCACUAAUAAUUACCAAAAGACCAUGUACACAGCAUCAUCUGGAAUUAUUCCCUUGUACUGAUCAACUAACUAUUCAGCAAUUUAGAAACAUGAAUUUGAUAAGAUAACCCCUUGUUCAAAUUUCCUACUCUGCCGUGCAUGCUAGAAAGCCAUCAGAAACACCAAUGACCAUAACACUAAAAAUGUAUAAUUAAUCAUGUCAUGCCAUCAGUCAUGUGGCUGCCGACGCUACAACUAAAUGGUCUCUCUCUCGGCCCCAUGUGAACCCCUACGUCUGACACUUUAACCUUAUUAUUAUUGUCAUCAUUUUUUUUUUUUUUAUAAAAGCUGCAAACUGUUUGUCCUGUCCUAUGAGUCUUAAGUAAUCUGUUUUAGUUUAUUAAAAUAUUUUACUUGUUUUACGUCUAAUUUUACAACGAAAAGGUUUCUCUGGUGUGUGAAAUCGCUUUUUUCCAUUUGCACCACUGUUUACAAGUUUAGGUUCAGAGUUUAACAACGGUUUCCGCCAUUUACCAUUAUCUUCAUUGAUGCUGCCUUCAGUUUCAGAUCCAGAUUCUGAUGAAGGUCUGUGCAAAUUAUAAUUAUCAACGCUGCUGGUGCUUGUGCUGGUGCUGCUGCUGCUGCUACUACUACUUUCCGUUUCAGAUCCAGAUUCUGAUGAAGGUCCAUGCAAGUUAUAAUUAUCAAUGCUGCUGCUGCUUUCCGUUUCAGAUCCAGAUUCUGAUGAAGAUUCGUGCAAGUUAUAAUUAUCAAUGCUGCUGUCUUCAGUUUCAGAGCCAGAUUCUGAUGAAGAUCCGUGCAAGUUAUAAUUAUCAAUGCUGCUGUCUUCAGUUUCAGAGCCAGAUUCUGAUGAAGAUCUGUGCAAGUUAUAAUUAUCAAUGCUGCUGUCUUCAGUUUCAGAUCCAGAUUCUGACAGAGACUGAUGCAGGUUAGAAUUUUUACUCUUGCCAUCUUCAGUUUCAGGUUCAGAAGCAGACAAUGGCUCCUGCCAAUAAUUAUCACCAUCCACAGUACCAUCUUUAGUCUCGGUGAAGUCUGAAGCCUGUAAAUUAGUAUUCUGUGGUAAACAGCUACUGUGAUAAGAGUUCCUAGCCUUUUUGCUUCCUUCAUCGUCCUCAGUUUCUGUUUUCAUUUGUUUACCUGAUCCUCUGGUUUGUGUCUGCGCUUCCAUGUUUUUGAGAGGCGGGCCUUGAUGAGGUUGUGGGGACUGCGGUUUCUUUUCAUCAUUUUCACUCUUCACAUGAACAGAAGUGAGCAGGAACCCGGUGAUAUCAGCCUCCUUUAUCCCAUUAAGAUUCACUUCAACCUCUUCGCUAUUUAUGUGAUGUUCCUCCUGCUCCUCCUUUAUUUGGCGUUCUUUGUGUUCGUCUUUUAAGUGGCAUUCUUCCUGCUCCUCCUUUUCAAUGCGCUCCUGCUGAUUUAUUAUACGACGCUCCUCCAGAUCCAUCUCUAUAUGACGCUCCUCCAGCUCCGUCUCUAUACGACGCUCCUCCACCUCGAUCUUUAUACGAUGCUCUUCCAGCUCCAUCUUUAUACAACACUCCUCCUGCUCCUCCUCUAUAUGACGCUCCUCCAGCUCCAUCUUUAUACAACGCUCCUCCAGCUCCAUCUUUGUGGGCCCUUCUUCCUGUUUUUUCUUUAGCUGGAGAUGAUCUAUGACCCGCUGUUUCAGACCAGCAUUUAAUUGAGGUGGAGCAUCUUGGGCAUCUGCAUUGAACACAGAUGUGGACAACGGAUGAGUGUGUGUCUACAGUUUUAAUAUUAUUUUGAAAAUAAAAGGACACAUUUCUAUUUUUGGAAAGAUUUUCAAAUUACAAAUUAUCCAAGAACAGCAUUUAUUUUUAUUAAAACUGGUGAAAAGGUCUCAGUUCCACUUCACAGCUGAUGGACCCAUUUGACAGUUGUUGUAUUAUUUACCUUUCUUUAGUUUAAAUCACAAAGUAGAGAGCAGUUGCAACAGUCAAUUGUAGUAAUUUAUGGAUAAAAUAAUGCCCAGCCAUGUGUAAGUUAGUGCCAUCA